rnacentral:rRNA from 1 species
UACAUAAGGAGCAAGCGUUGUCCGGAAUUAUUGGGCGUAAAGAGCUCGUAGACGGUUCGGAAAGUCAGCUGUGAAAUCACCAGGCUCAACCUGGUAGGGUCAGUUGAGACUUCCGAACUUGAGUGCAGGAGGGGAAAGUGGAAUUCCUAGUGUAGCGGUGAAAUGCGUAGAUAUUAGGAGGAACACCAGUGGCGAAGGCGACUUUCUGGACUGUAACUGACGCUGAGGCUCGAAAGCCAGGGGAGCGAACGGG